rnacentral:rRNA from 1 species
UACGGGGGGGGGCAAGCGUUGUUCGGAAUUACUGGGCGUAAAGGGCUCGUAGGCGGCCAACUAAGUCAGACGUGAAAUCCCUCGGCUUAACCGGGGAACUGCCUCUGAUACUGGAUGGCUUGAAUCCGGGAGAGGGAUGCGGAAUUCCAGGUGUAGCGGUGAAAUGCGUAGAUAUCUGGAGGAACACCGGUGGCGAAGGCGGCCAACUGGACGAAUACUGACGCUGAGACUCGAAAGCGUGGGGAGCAAACAGG